CGCGUAAUGCAGGGGAACCCGGCGACGGGUUGAGAAAGGCCGUGAUGGCCUGACCCUUAGAACCUGUUGGCUAACACCAGCGAAGGGAGACAUGUCAUGGCCGAAG
rnacentral:ncRNA from 2 species